rnacentral:lncRNA from 1 species
UCUGGAAGAGUACUGUACCAUAUCUACAGUGCAUGAAGCAGUUUUUAAACCUUAUUGUGUGUGAUGUUUUCCAGUAUUCUAGAUUUGUUAAUGCCUGUUAUGAGCUAUUAGCGAUAACUCACCAUGCUAUUUAAGAUACUCUCUUAGGUAACACUGAUUUAUAGUCGCAGGAAAUAAAAGAGAAAAAGAAGCCGUACCAGAAAGAUGGUUCUAUAAAUGAAAUAGGUUAAAAGCUCGUGUUGUGUUAAUAGAGCCAUAAGAAAGGACUUAAAUCCCCCUUAUAUGUUGCUGGGGAUCAUUUUGUAUGCCCGUUCUUCCCUGACUUUCCUGUCUGUAAAAUAAGAGUAGACUGAUGUCUGUAAAGAAGUUGUAGAAGUUCAAUAGGAAAAUGCUGUGAAUCUGGUAUGUUCCAAGUUCCCAGUUCAUGGUAGCUAUGGUGACUGAAGCUCUCAGAGCUUUUCUUCUGUGCAGUCUGUACUUUGAGACAUCUUUAUGACUCUGGAAAUGCUUUAAGUAGCCAGCAGUGAACCUGGACUCUGGUCUGUAGUUGAAUGUGUCAUUUGUUGUGAUGUCAGCAGAAAGGACACACUUAAAAAUUUUACCUCCUAGUUAUGAGCUUUUUGGUACAGUAUUGCACAAUUAAAAAUUUCUUUUACACAAUUUCUUAAGUAAGCAUGUAAUUAGAUACAAAUGUAUCCAUAUUAACCAAGCAUCAUGGCAAAUGCCUAUAAACAUAGCUCUCAGGAUGUUGAGGCAGGAGGAUUAUAACAUUUGAAUCUAGCCUGGGCUAUAUAGUGAGACCCUGUCUAAACAAACAAUGUACAUGCUUGCAGUGGAAGUUUCUUGUAGUUCUUUUUUUAAAAAUGAUUUUAUGUGCAUUGGUGUUUUGCCUUCACGUGUGUCUGUGUAAGGAUGUUGGAUUCCCUGGAAUUAGAGUUAGCAGUUUGUGAGCUGCCAUAUUGAGAAUUGAAUCCCUGUUCCCUGGAAGAUCAGCCAGCGCUCUCUCUCCAGCUCCUUUUAUUUUUUUUUUUUUGUAUUUUUAAUUCACUAGAACAAAAAUAAAAGUUGGUGUUUCUUAUUCUUAUUUUAUCCCCAUUUCUACAGGCUAUUUUUAGUUCUCCUACUUGUAGGUAUAUAUUUCUGCUGCUGCUAAGGGCUUACUCCAAGAAGGGAGACCUUUAAAGAGGUCAGUAAUGGUGGGCCAAAUCAACUAAUAUAUUUAUGUGACCCAUGACAUAUUUGAGUUUUUCCCCUCUUGAUUUUUUUCAAACACUUUAAAAAUUACGUUUCAUAACACCCCCACCCCACCUCACAUAAAAAAGGCCAGGUGUAAUAGCUUACUUCUUUAAUCCUAGCACUAAGGAGGCAGGAUGAUCUCUGUAAGUUGGAAGCCCGCCUGGUCUCAGG